rnacentral:rRNA from 1 species
GGUUAGUACGUGCCAGCGGCUGGUGUAAUACGUAGGCGGGAAGCGUUGUUUGGGGUUACUGGGCGUAAAGGGUGUGUAGGCGGUUGGUUAAGGUUGGUGUGAAAUCUCCCGGCUCAACUGGGAGGGUGCGCCGAAUACUGAAUGACUAGAGUGCGGGAGAGGAGAGUGGAAUUCCUGGUGUAGCGGUGAAAUGCGUAGAUAUCAGGAGGAACACCGGUGGUGUAGACGGCUCUCUGGACCGUAACUGACGCUGAGACACGAAAGCGUGGGUAGCAAACAGGAUUAGAUACCCCAGUAGUC